rnacentral:rRNA from 1 species
CCUAAUCAUGCAAGUUCGAGCGAAUGGAUUAAGAGCUUGCUCUUAUGAAGUUAGCGGCGGACGGGUGAGUAACACGUGGGUAACCUGCCCAUAAGACUGGGAUAACUCCGGGAAACCGGGGCUAAUACCGGAUAACAUUUUGAACCGCAUGGUUCGAAAUUGAAAGGCGGCUUCGGCUGUCACUUAUGGAUGGACCCGCGUCGCAUUAGCUAGUUGGUGAGGUAACGGCUCACCAAGGCAACGAUGCGUAGCCGACCUGAGAGGGUGAUCGGCCACACUGGGACUGAGACUCGGCCCAGACUCCUACGGGAGGCAGCAGUAGGGAAUCUUCCGCAAUGGACGAAAGUCUGACGGAGCAACGCCGCGUGAGUGAUGAAGGCUUUCGGGUCGUAAAACCCUGUUGUUAGGGAAAAACAAGUGCUAGUUGAAUAAGCUGGCACCUUGACGGUACCUAACCAGAAAGCCACGGCUAACUACGUGCCAGCAGCCGCGGUAAUACGUAGGUGGCAAGCGUUAUCCGGAAUUAUUGGGCGUAAAGCGCGCGCAGGUGGUUUCUUAAGUCUGAUGUGAAAGCCCACGGCUCAACCGUGGAGGGUCAUUGGAAACUGGGAGACUUGAGUGCAGAAGAGGAAAGUGGAAUUCCAUGUGUAUCGUUGAAAUGCGUAGAGAUAUGGAGGAACACCAGUGGCGAAGGCGACUUUCUGGUCUGUAACUGACACUGAGGCGCGAAAGCGUGGGGAGCAAACAGGAUUAGAUACCCUGGUAGUCCACGCCGUAAACGAUGAGUGCUAAGUGUUAGA